rnacentral:misc_RNA from 1 species
GAUGAAGAACGUAGCGAAAUGCGAUAAGUAGUGUGAAUUGCAGAAUUCAGUGAAUCAUCGAAUCUUUGAACGCACAUUGCGGCCAUAGGUAUUCCUUUGGCCAUGCCUGUUCGAGCGUCAUUUACACCCUCAAGCCUAGCUUGGUGUUGGGCGUCUGUCCCGCCGUUCUCGCGCGCGGACUCGCCUCAAAGUCAUUGGCGGCGGUCGUGCCGGCCCCCUCGCGCAGCACAUUUGCGCUUCUCGGAGGCCCGGCGGAUCCGCGCUCCAGCAAGACCUUUCACGACUUGACCUCGUAUCAGGUAGGGAUACCCGCUGAACUUAAGCAUAUCAAUAAGCGGAGGA